rnacentral:rRNA from 1 species
AGAGUUUGAUCCUGGCUCAGAACGAACGCUGGCGGCAUGCCUAACACAUGCAAGUCGAACGCUCUCGCAAGAGAGAGUGGCGCACGGGUGCGUAACACGUGGGAAUCUGCCCUUAGGUACGGAAUAACUCAGGGAAACUUGUGCUAAUACCGUAUGAUGCCGCAAGGCCAAAGAUUUAUCGCCUUUGGAUGAGCCCGCGUUGGAUUAGCUAGUUGGUGGGGUAAAAGCCUACCAAGGCGACGAUCCAUAGCUGGUCUGAGAGGAUGAUCAGCCACACUGGGACUGAGACACGGCCCAGACUCCUACGGGAGGCAGCAGUGGGGAAUAUUGGACAAUGGGCGAAAGCCUGAUCCAGCAAUGCCGCGUGAGUGAAGAAGGCCUUCGGGUUGAAAAGCUCUUUUACCCGGGAAGAUAAUGACCGUACCGGGAGAAUAAGCCCCGGCUAACUCCGUGCCAGCAGCCGCGGUAAUUC